rnacentral:rRNA from 1 species
CGGGACGGGGUGGAGUAAUGUCUGGGAAACUGCCCGAUGGAGGGGGGUAACUACUGGAAACGGUAGCUAAUACCGCAUAACGUCGCAAGACCAAUGAGGGGGACCUUCGGGCCUCUUGCCAUCGGAUGUGCCCAGAUGGGAUUAGCUAGUAGGUGGGGGAAGGGCUCACCUAGGCGACGAUCCCUAGCUGGUCUGAGAGGAUGACCAGCCACACUGGAACUGAGACACGGUCCAG